UUUAUCGAUCAAAAAUCAUCUCAGUAAAACUUGCUGAACGUUGUGGAUGAACUUUAACAGUAUGUGGAAAAGUCUGUUUCCAUGGUAACGUCCAGACUCGGUCAGAACCGGCACUUUUAGCACGCAUUUGUGUUGGUGAUAAAAACUGAAAUCAGGAAUCUGUAGCAUCUAUAAAUAACCACAACCUUUCAACUAAAAUUAAUUUUAGUGAAAAAGCAAUGAUCUGCAGAUAUUGACAAAAAGCCAAAAGAGCCAAUCAGCUUUAAUCAAAGUGACCUUUAGUAGCCCGGUGAUGUGCCUGCAGGGACAAACCACUGACUCACAUUUCAAGAAUUUAGAGCAGAUUUUUUAAAUCAGACUUAUCUUGGUUGUUAUAUUUAGAGCCACGUUGUGGACUGAAGUCCUGAUAACUCGUCUAAUUGUUCAGCAGCGUAUGUGAACCAGGAGGGGGCGCUCUGACUGCUGGGCAGGAAAGAUCAGCUCUCUGCUGCAGCCAAACGGGAUUCUGAGUUCAUGCGAGUUGUGAAUUUCUCCUUCUUUAUAUAUAGCCUCAAGAUGCUUCUCUUACAUCAGCCAUCUGUUCAGCAAUCAAACAGCCAAAUCCACUGAUCUGAGCGAGAUCCUCCAUGACAGGCACACACAGCGAUGUGUCAUACAUGCUUUUUUAGAGUUUAAACCUACUCAAGCUCACUAAUUGUGUUUAAUGUCCAUGUUUAAUCAGGCCAUUCAUCAUUUGAGCUGACAUAAGGGAACGUAAAAAAAAAGAUUUCUGUAUCAAAAGAUAAUAAUAGAAACCUUCAUGUGAAAAAAACAUGAAAGUUUCUGUUUGAAGGAGACAUUUCCAUUCAGAAUCACCUCAAAAUGUUCUUGCAGACUCCAUGAUGUUUGACCUGAGAGCAGGUUGAACAUUCAGAGCAGCUCAGCAGGAAGACAGAAAAACGUUGGCAGCCUUUAUUUUCCUCCCAGGAAAGACAGUGAGCUUCUAAAAUAAUUAAAGCAGGACUAAAACCGACAGUCUGGAGAUAAAAGGUGCCGUGAAGAGCUUGAUGUGUGGCGUCAUGGCAGAUCAUCCUCCUGUGAACGGACCAGCGCUCAUUUUUUGAAGUCCUGCAGGGCGACACGGUGCAGCCGGGAGUGGUUACAGAAACGACAGCGAGUCUGAACUGAACCCGACAACACCAUCAGAACCGCAGAGCCCAGGUUCUGCAGGAGGAGAACAGGCUGGACGUGAAAACAGUGGUGGAUAAUCCAACCACAUAAACCAAACAGGAAAUGUUUUCAUGCUGCAAUUAUGACAAAAUACUGACAACAAGGAACAGGAAUAAAAAAAGUCAGACUGCUGCAGCUGCAGGAUCAGCACAGAAAACUAGGCUCUGCAUUCAGCAGGGAAACAUGCAGGAAACAUGCUUCAUUCCCUCUGACUGAAAGGAAGUGUCGACACAUCGAUUUAAUCCAGUCUGUAAGCAGCAGCAACUUCCAGCUGGAACCUGCAGAACCAACAGACAGGAAGUUGGUUCUGUGUGUUUAUGAGCCAGAGACCCAAAACCACCAGGAAGAGUCACCAGAGGAACCAGCUGCCUUCACUGACAGUUUUCCAGCCACUCUGUGAGCUUCAGCUUCUGUCAGCAUGAAGUUCAUAC